rnacentral:rRNA from 1 species
GAUGAACGCUAGCGGCGGGCUUAAUACAUGCAAGUCAAGGGGUAGCAAUACACCGGCGUACGGGUGCGUAACGCGUAUGGAACCUGCCCUUAUCUGGGGGAUAACUCGGGGAAACUCGAGCUAAUACCGCAUAAGAUAGUAGAAUGGCAUCAUUCAGCUAUUAAAGAUUUAUCGGAUAAGGAUGGCCAUGCGUAAGAUUAGAUAGUUGGUGGGGUAACGGCUCACCAAGUCUACGAUCUUUAGGGGCUCUGAGAGGAGAAUCCCCCACACUGGCACUGAGAUACGGGCCAGACUCCUACGGGAGGCAGCAGUAGGGAAUAUUGGGCAAUGGGCGGAAGCCUGACCCAGCCACGCCGCGUGCAGGAAGAAGGCCCUCUGGGUUGUAAACUCCUUUCGAUCGAGACGAACGGCCUCGGGGUGAACAAUCCCGGGGAGUGACGGUACCGAGAGAAGAAGCCCCGGCUAACUCCGUGCCAGCCGCCGCAGUAAGAC